CGACGCCACGACUCUAUUCUCGCCUUCGUCGCCGCUCCCGAUGGGGCUCGCCGCGCUACGUCUUCUCGUUUCUUGCGCUUCUUCGCCUCCGCGAAGGGCGACGUCUUCCUCGGUCUCCCCUUGGGUGGAUGGAAUCCUCCGCCACGUCUCGACAUCAGGGUACGAUCUCUCCUCCGAUCGGUAUUUAUAAGUGAAAUUAAUGUGGAUUUUAGGGCUUCGUCAGCUCCGUACAGGGACGAGCGAUGCUUUUUUCUUUUAUUUUUUCAUUGAUGAGAGCUCGUCUAGGGUUAUUACCUUUCCGUGGGUAGAUGUUCUGCAUUGGGCGUUUGGGCAAUGCACUGAAGCUCCACGUUGAUACGGUUCUGAGAUAGUGGUCCUGUUGCUCUCCUCCUUCAAGAAGCCAUUAUGCGGGAAUUAUUAAUCUGUCCUAGGCUAUAUUGAGGACUGCCAAUGGGGGCUAAUACGUUGGUACAUGAUUUGUCCUGAAGAUUGUCUCCAAGAUGAUUAGCGACAUACCACCAGAAGACCAGCGAUCCUGAAUGACUUUCUUGCAAGAUGAUGCGCAGGUCACUAUAACAUGAUGCACAGCUCACCGCAAGAAGAUUAGUCGGUGUUAUAACCUUGCCGUAGGAUGAUGUAGUCAUAGCUUAGGAUCGAUAAGAUGGAUUGAAUAUUUGAAAGAAGUUGAAUCUAUGAAUCAAAUUUAAUAUUUUAAGAAAGAUUUGAUUCGUAUAUCCGUACUGCAUAUAUGCUUAUUUUUUGCAAAUUAUUAUCUAUU